rnacentral:tRNA from 1 species
GGAGGGGUUGGGGAGCCUGGUACCCCGCCGGACUUGAAAUCCGGGCGCCCGUCAAGGGUUCGCGGGUUCAAAUCCCGCCCCCUCCGCCA